rnacentral:rRNA from 1 species
AGACGGAGGGUGCAAACGUUGUUCGGAAUUACUGGGCAUAAAGAGCACGUAGGCGGCUAAGUCAGUCCGGUGUGAAAGCCCCCGGCUCAACCGGGGAACUGCAUCGGAUACUGCUUGGCUUGAGGAUGGCUGGGGUGAGUGGAACUCCUGGUGGAGCGGUGAAAUGCGUAGAUAUCAGGAGGAACACCAGUGGCGAAAGCGACUCACUGGGCCAUUUCUGACGCUGAGGUGCGAAAGCUAGGGUAGCGAACGGGAUUAGAUACCCCGGUAGUCC